rnacentral:ribozyme from 1 species
CAGCAGCGCUGUCAACAACAAGAACGGGGAUGAUGGUGAAGUCCCUGCAGAUACUGUGUUCCGGAAUUGG